CCUACGGGAGGCAGCAGUGGGGAAUAUUGGGCAAUGGGCGCAAGCCUGACCCAGCAACGCCGCGUGAAGGAAGAAGGCUUUCGGGUUGUAAACUUCUUUUAAGAGGGAAGAGCAGAAGACGGUACCUCUUGAAUAAGCUACGGCUAACUACGUGCCAGCAGCCGCGGUAAUACGUAGGUGGCAAGCGUUGUCCGGAUUUACUGGGUGUAAAGGGCGUGCAGCCGGGAAGACAAGUCAGAUGUGAAAUCCCGCGGCUCAACCGCGGAACUGCAUUUGAAACUGUUUUUCUUGAGUACCGGAGAGGUCAUCGGAAUUCCUGGUGUAGCGGUGAAAUGCGUAGAUAUAAGGAAGAACACCAGUGGCGAAGGCAGAUGACUGGACGGCAACUGACGGUGAGGCGCGAAAGCGUGGGGAGCAAACAGGAUUAGAUACCCCAGUAGUC
rnacentral:rRNA from 1 species